rnacentral:rRNA from 1 species
UACGUAGGGUGCGAGCGUUGUCCGGAAUUACUGGGCGUAAAGAGCUCGUAGGUGGUUUGUCGCGUUGUUCGUGAAAACUCACAGCUCAACUGUGGGCGUGCGGGCGAUACGGGCAGACUAGAGUACUGCAGGGGAGACUGGAAUUCCUGGUGUAGCGGUGGAAUGCGCAGAUAUCAGGAGGAACACCGGUGGCGAAGGCGGGUCUCUGGGCCGAAACUGACGCUGAGGAGCGAAAGCGUGGGGAGCAAACAGG